rnacentral:misc_RNA from 1 species
UUUCCGUAGGUGAACCUGCGGAAGGAUCAUUACUGAGUUAGGGUCUUUAUGGCCCGACCUCCAACCCUUUGUUUAAUCUACCAUGUUGCUUUGGCAGGCCCGCUUAGAAAUGGGCCGCCGGAGACCUUUGAGUCUCUGGUCAGUGCCUGCCAGUAGCCUUUCUAAAUUCAUUUAUAACCGAGUCUGAAUAUACAAAGAAAAAUUAAAAUAAAACUUUCAACAACGGAUCUCUUGGUUCUG